rnacentral:rRNA from 1 species
AUGGCAACAUGUGGAGCUGACUGUUACUAAUAGGUCGAGGGCUUAAUCUG